GCUGCCGCUGCUGGGAUUGCUGUUGCUGCUGUAGUCACGGGUCGCUGCAGCCGCAUAGGAGCUCCGAAUGCGGCCAUCGGGAGAUGGAGAUGCUGCUGCUUCUCCUGCACCUGCCCACGGAUGUCUCACGGACACGACUUCAUGCGCGCUGAGGAGAACUGCGUCGUAGGUGCCUCGUAGGAGCAAGCUGGGACAGGCGGAGCCUUCCGCCGCUGCGGCCGCCGCCGCUGUGGCGGUCGCUGCGGCGAUCGCUGUGUUGGGUGCUUGGGUUGACCGGCAUUGGUUGACCGGCGGGCGGUGCAUGGAGGCGAGCAGCGUGCGAAGAAAAUUAGCCGUGCAUGUCAGUGCACUCAUCGAUUUAUGCGUGGAUGGGGAGCUGGUUAGGGAGCCAGGCGGGAGACAUACGUGUUGGGAAGUACUAAGCAAGCGGCGGCAGUGUAGGGGGGCCCAUGAUUCUGAAGUCAGCUUAAGUUGCUAAGUGGCUGGGAAUACCUGUGUGCGCGUGUGCAUGCGCAUGUGUAUCUAUGGUUACGUAUGUUUCUGCAUUUUUUAUGCGUUUACGUACGUUGGUUCAUGAGUGGUGAAGGUAAGCAGCUUAGCCGCUUCAAAGGCAAUGGUUGGCAAUGGAUUUUUUCCUAUGAGGAAAUGGAAUGCGCGGUGCAGCCAGGUGGCCACAGCUGCCAGGUUCGCCGAUAGUUACAGUCAGGUUUGCAUUCUCCGGGCAUCCCGUAUGUGGCCAUCUCGGCACGGAUUCAGGCGCCCAAGGGGGGGAUAUUUGUGCGUAACGGGCAUAGUUGCAAAGUGUUGCUGAAGGUUGCGAGGCUUUGCCGAGGGUUACAGCAGUAGAAGAAAGAGUACAGCAGGAAGAGUAAAAGGAACAUCCUUUCUUUUCCUGUGAGGUUCAGUCGACGCGAGAAAGUUUCAGGGGUGGCUUCAGUAGACCCGCCAGUUUCUUAAGGGACGCAGUCGCGUAGUAAGGCAAGACCGAUACUUGGAUUGGUCCUCGUGGUAGUUACGCCACAUACUUGCUGUUUGAGCAGAAGAUGUAAGCAGAAGCACCACCAGCGAAACCAAGUAAAAGGAGGCCACCAUCUGCUAACAUCCGCUUGCGUCCAAAAGCUCUGACGCCGUUUUUGAGGAAAAAUGUACAGAGCUUACAAAUAGAUAGCCAAGAUGUGGUAACUGAUUGUAUCAGUGCAGUUCCUGAGUUCGUUCGGCGCCUAUCGAGUAGGUUGAGCGUAGCUGGAUGCGCACAAAGCUAGCCUGCUUCCUUAAAGACUCCUGCAUUUUUACUUGAAAAAGGCUUUGAAGUAGCUGUAGAUUGAGACGACCUGGAAUGCGAUUGAGUUGCCGCUCGUGCACUGAUGGACGAGCGACAAGGAUUUGGAGCGACUUCGCAGCCGUGGCAUCCUUGGCUUCCCGCUUGCGUUUAUGGAUACGAGCCACUUAUGAAUACAUGACUUUCCUGUGGAUCUUGGCGUUCUCAUCUAGCUGUUGGGGCUCCG
rnacentral:lncRNA from 1 species